GACGAACGCUGGCGGCGUGCUUAUCACAUGCAAGUCGAACGGAAAGGCCCUGCUUUUGUGGGGUGCUCGAGUGGCGAACGGGUGAGUAACACGUGAGUAACCUGCCCUUGACUUUGGGAUAACUUCAGGAAACUGGGGCUAAUACCGGAUAGGAGCUCCUGCUGCAUGGUGGGGGUUGGAAAGUUUCGGCGGUUGGGGAUGGACUCGCGGCUUAUCAGCUUGUUGGUGGGGUAGUGGCUUACCAAGGCCUUGACGGGUAGCCGGCCUGAGAGGGUGACCGGCCACAUUGGGACUGGGAUACGGCCCAGACGCCUACGGGGGGCAGCGGUGGGGAAUAUUGCACAAUGGGCGGAAGCCUGAUGCAGCAACGCCGCGUGCGGGAUGACGGCCUUCGGGUUGGAAACCGCUUUCGCCUGUGACGAAGCGUGAGUGACGGUAAUGGGUAAAGAAGCACCGGCUAACUACGU
rnacentral:rRNA from 1 species